GCUCCGACUCUGGAAUGUACAUCGUCGACGUGGCUUGGAUUUAGAAGUUGGAGAAAUCACUUUUGGCACCUCUUGGCAUCCUUGCUCCUCUGAUGAUGGAACCUCUGGUUUCUUCACCCCCCCACCAUAAACACAGUUUCGGUCCCAGGAUGGGAAGAUGAAGGAAGACAAAAACAGGAAGUGAAGGAUGUGCAUCCUGCAGAACGAGAUGAACUGAAAUCAAAAGGGCAGGACUCACCUACACCCAGGAGAGUGCUGGGCCUUUGAAGGUUCUCAGGGACAUUUAGUCAUCUCCCGGUUCCACAGAGGUGCUAUCAGUCACGUCACCUUGGGACACAUUCCUAAAAUGUUGUCCCCGACUGGUAACACCUGGAGUGCUCCCAAGGAGUUUUCUGUUUAUGUGGCUCUUCACAGAGGAGAGCCCACAGCUCCAGGUUUGGAUGCAGCUUCCCAGAAUCUCCCAGUGAUUUGUUUCCUCCUCCUGACAUCGUUUUCUUCA